GGACAAGUAGUUUGCUCUGGUUCCACACAUUUUGAGAGAGGUGGGAAGACUGUCAACAAAAUGUUUCUGUUCAUUUAACUCACAAAUGUGAGACAGUUCACGGGUAGAGUGGAAAGCAGAGUUAAACAUGAGCUUCCCAACAGAAUGAUUAUACUUGACAAGACUAAUCCACCUGACAGUUGACAUAAGACCAUUUAAUGAAAGCAGCCCCGGGGCGGCUCCAGACAGGACAGAUUUAAUGGGAUGAACAAGAAGUCUCACAAAAUGCAGGUAAGAAAUAGCCUCAGAUAGCACAGCCGUUAAAAAAAAAAAAAAAAGGA